GACGAACGCUGGCGGCGUGCUUAACACAUGCAAGUCGAGCGGUAAGGCCCUUUCGGGGGUACACGAGCGGCGAACGGGUGAGUAACACGUGGGUGACCUGCCCUCAGCUCUGGGAUAAGCCUGGGAAACCGGGUCGUAAUACUGGAUAUGACUCCAUGACGCAUGUUGUGGGGUGGAAAGCCUUGUGCGGCUGAGGAUGGGCCCGCGGCCUAUCAGCUUGUUGGUGGGGUGAGGCCUACCAAGGCGACGACGGGUAGCCGGCCUGAGAGGGCGACCGGCCACACUGGGACGUGAGACACGGCCCAGACUCCUACGGGAGGCAGCAGUGGGGAAUCUUGCGCAAUGGGCGAAAGCCUGACGCAGCGACGCCG
rnacentral:rRNA from 1 species